rnacentral:rRNA from 1 species
CCUAGGGUUGUAAAGCNCUUUCAAUUGGGAGGAAAACCUGCCGGUCAAUACCCGGUAGCUUGACAUUACCUUUAGAAGAAGCACCGGCUAACUCCGUGCCAGCAGCCGCGGUAAUACGGAGGGUGCGAGCGUUAAUCGGAAUUACUGGGCGUAAAGCGUGCGUAGGUGGUUCGUUAAGUCAGAUGUGAAAGCCCUGGGCUCAACCUGGGAACUGCAUUUGAAACUGGCGGACUAGAGUUUAGUAGAGGGGAGUGGAAUUUCAGGUGUAGCGGUGAAAUGCGUAGAUAUCUGAAGGAACACCAGUGGCGAAGGCGACUCCCUGGACUAAAGCUGACGCUGAGGUACGAAAGCGUGGGUAGCAAACAGGAUUAGAUACCCUGGUAGUCCACGCCGUAAACNAUGUCGACUAGCCGUUGGUCCUAUAUACAGGAUUAGUGGCGCAGCUAACGCAUUAAGUCGACCGCCUGGGGAGUACG